AAGGCCCUUCGGGGUACACGAGCGGCGAACGGGUGAGUAACACGUGGGUAAUCUGCCCUGCACUCUGGGAUAAGCCUGGGAAACUGGGUCUAAUACCGGAUAUGACAACCUUGGGCAUCCAGGGUUGUGGAAAGUUCCGGCGGUGCAGGAUGGGCCCGCGGCCUAUCAGCUUGUUGGUGGGGUAAUGGCCUACCAAGGCGACGACGGGUAGCCGGCCUGAGAGGGCGACCGGCCACACUGGGACUGAGACACGGCCCAGACUCCUACGGGAGGCAGCAGUGGGGAAUAUUGCGCAAUGGGCGAAAGCCUGACGCAGCGACGCCGCGUGAGGGAUGACGGCCUUCGGGUUGUAAACCUCUUUCAGUGCCGACGAAGCGAAAGUGACGGUAGGUACAGAAGAAGCACCGGCCAACUACGUGCCAGCAGCCGCGGUAAUACGUAGGGUGCGAGCGUUGUCCGGAAUUAUUGGGCGUAAAGAGCUCGUAGGCGGUUUGUUGCGUCGGCUGUGAAAACUCGGGGCUUAACUCUGAGCUUGCAGUCGAUACGGGCAGACUUGAGUUCGGCAGGGGAGACUGGAAUUCCUGGUGUAGCGGUGAAAUGCGCAGAUAUCAGGAGGAACACCGGUGGCGAAGGCGGGUCUCUGGGCCGAUACUGACGCUGAGGAGCGAAAGCGUGGGGAGCGAACAGGAUUAGAUACCCUGGUAGUCCACGCCGUAAACGUUGGGCGCUAGGUGUGGGGGUCAUUCCACGGCCUCCGUGCCCGCAGCUAACGCAUUAAGCGCCCCGCCUGGGGAGUACGGCCGCAAGGCUAAAAACUCAAAUGAAUUUGACGGGGA
rnacentral:rRNA from 1 species